rnacentral:rRNA from 1 species
GACGAACGCUGGCGGCGUGCCUAAUACAUGCAAGUAGAACGCUGAAGAGAGGAGCUUGCUCUUCUUGGAUGAGUUGCGAACGGGUGAGUAACGCGUAGGUAACCUGCCUGGUAGCGGGGGAUAACUAUUGGAAACGAUAGCUAAUACCGCAUAAAAUUAAUUAUUGCAUGAUAAUUAAUUGAAAGAUGCAAUUGCAUCACUACCAGAUGGACCUGCGUUGUAUUAGCUAGUUGGUGAGGUAACGGCUCACCAAGGCGACGAUACAUAGCCGACCUGAGAGGGUGAUCGGCCACACUGGGACUGAGACACGGCCCAGACUCCUACGGGAGGCAGCAGUAGGGAAUCUUCGGCAAUGGGGGGAACCCUGACCGAGCAACGCCGCGUGAGUGAAGAAGGUUUUCGGAUCGUAAAGCUCUGUUGUAAGAGAAGAACGGGUGUGAGAGUGGAAAGUUCACACUGUGACGGUAUCUUACCAGAAAGGGACGGCUAACUACGUGCCAGCAGCCGCGGUAAUACGUAGGUCCCGAGCGUUGUCCGGAUUUAUUGGGCGUAAAGCGAGCGCAGGCGGUUAGAUAAGUCUGAAGUUAAAGGCUGUGGCUUAACCAUAGUAUGCUUUGGAAACUGUUUAACUUGAGUGCAGAAGGAGAGAGUGGAAUUCCAUGUGUUGCGGUGAAAUGCGUAGAUAUAUGGAGGAACACCCGGUGGCUAAAGCGUCUCUCUUGUUCUGUUACUGACGCUUAUGCUCGAAAGCGUGGUGGAGCAACUGG